rnacentral:tRNA from 1 species
UGUGCAGGGAUGGGAAUCGAACCCACAGUGUUCCGCUUACCGGGCAGAUGCCAUGUCCACUAGGCUACCCUGGAC